UACGUAGGGGGCGAGCGUUGUCCGGAUUUAUUGGGCGUAAAGAGCGUGUAGGCGGCCAGGUAGGUCUGCUGUGAAAACUCGAGGCUCAACCUCGAGACGUCGGCGGAAACCAUCUGGCUAGAGUCCGGAAGAGGAGAGUGGAAUUCCUGGUGUAGCGGUGAAAUGCGCAGAUAUCAGGAGGAACACCAAUGGCGAAGGCAGCUCGCUGGGACGGUACUGACGCUGAGGCGCGAAAGCGUGGGGAGCGAACAGG
rnacentral:rRNA from 1 species